GGCCUUGUAGCUCAGCGGAUCUUAGAGCGCUCGUUUCCGAUGCGAGAAGUCCCAGGUUCGAACCCUGGCUGGGUCA